rnacentral:lncRNA from 1 species
CCACUGAAACACCCUGUGGUCUCUGUCUGCACAGCUUUCGCAGAUUCAACAGGCAGAGUUCCAUGUGUGCUGCAGCCCGCCGAUAGUGGCACACGC